GCGGAUGUGGCGGAAUUGGCAGACGCGCGGGUCUCAGAAGCCCGUGAUCGAGAGAUCGUGAUGGUUCGAUCCCAUUCAUCCGCA
rnacentral:tRNA from 1 species